UGCUUCUGAAAAGAGAAGAUAGGAGCUAAUGGAAAUGUUUCAUACUGGCAACUGUUGACUGUGUUCCGGAUUCUGUAAAAGCAGUAGUAUGAUUUGUGUUGAUAAGUUCUCUUUUGUUUGUAGGUAUGAUGGAAAUAAAGUUUUUGGUUAUAGAUUGCACAGGGAAGUAAAAAGGAUUCUGACUCAAUCAAAGACAAAGGGGAAAGCAUGUUUAACACAUACCAACUCCGUUCUCACUGGGAAAUACAUGCAGUGGAUUUCCAAGGAAUUCCAUGAAGUUGUGGUCAUUUCACAAUAUUUGUUUGUUCUCGACAUGAAAAUGCUAUGUAACUUUUUCUUUCUUUCUGUAAACACCAGAUAAACUGUUGUCUAGCAAGAUUGUGGCGGAAGUUGCUAUUGGCAAGACUAUCAAUAAUGAUCUCAUUCCUAUUUUGCAGAAAUUUCAAAAGAAUAAAGAAAGGGCACUGAACCCGAAGAAAAGGCAAGAGAUGCUCCUGAAUAGCUUGAGAAAUUCCUCUGGUACUAGGAUUACCCGCACAUUUCCGCAGUCGUAGGCUUGUCAGUUACACUUUUGAUGAAUAUGAUUGUGCUAUUGACGAGGCUAUAGAAGUAACAAAGUAA